AGCCGGUGGCACAAACUCUCCAGCCAAGCCAAAGGCCUAUGCCAAGGUUUCUUCUGUCCAGCUUGAGGCUUGGACAGAGGUCUCUUCUGUCUAGCUUCAGGCCUGCGCCAAGGUCUCUUCUGUGUAGCUUCAGGUCUGCGCCAAGGUCCCUUCUGUCCAGUUUGAGGCCUGCACCGAGGUCUCUUCUAUACGGCUUGAGGCCUACACAGAGGUCUCUUCUGUCCAGCUUGAGGCCUGCACCGUGGUCUCUUUUGUCCAGCUUUAGGUUUACACCGAGGUCUCUUCUGUCCAGCCUGAGGCAUGCACCGAGAUUUGUCCUGUCCAGCCUGAGGUUUGUGCCGAGGUCUCUUCUAUACGGCUUGAGGCCUACACAGAGGUCUCUUCUGUCCAGCUUGAGGCCUGCACCGAGAUCUGUCCUGUCCAGCCUGAGGUUUGUGCCGAGGUGUCUUCUGUUCAGCUUUAGGUUUGUGCCGUGGUCUCUUCUGUUCAAUCCAGUCUACCAGUCGACUCUGGAGAGACGAGCUCUGACCCUUAAGAAGAUUCGUGUUCUCCACCUCAUGACUCCGACAAAGACGUUGUUGCUCUGCUCCUGACUCUGACA
ensembl:lncRNA